UGUAUACUUUCCGCUGUGGGCAAAGGAGUUGGAAAUGAGAGUGCAGGAAAACCGUCGUCUAAUCCGCAUCGUAGAUCUCGAUAAACUUUUCUGUCAGUUUUUCACCGGAGCGACGUAGACAACAAAGGAUAACCUAACAUUGCGUAACGAGUUCGUGACGGCAAUGCAGAAGGAAAGUAACGAAAAUUGAAUACAACGUUGCUGGAGCAUAUCGAAAUACAAAAAGCUCUUCCGCUUCCUCGGACUCGCCCGGCGUCUCCUUUACGGUAUAAAACUGGAGCAACGCGUCCCCGUCCUACCACCAUCGGCGUCCGUCUCUUCGAGGCUUUACUUACUUCUUGGAUCGAGAAGCCAAUCUCUGAAUGGAGUAACCGGAAUCAGAGGUCUACACACACAGAUACCGGCGGCUUGUUGCCAGACGGUUCCAAGGAUAAAUUUCGAACAGGAUUUACCACCCUUAUACGCUGACGCACCAUCUCCAGUCUAGGGCAAAAAGCGACUUUGAUGUUCUUUGAUAUAAGGACCACCGUCCGCCAUUGAUCUAACGGCUAUAAGCCAAUAGGAGUACACUCCCUUUGGCCCUGCCGAAACAUCGAGUCAAACCGCAUCCUAUGCUGCGUUCGUGCUAUUUAUAUCGCGGGUAUACCCUGGAGUUAGCUCGAACGCACUUUACACCGUAAAUUCAUGGGGAUAAUAUUAAUUUUUUUUUUUCCUCAAAUUAUUCCCACCCCCCCGCUCAAAACGCGAAAGCUCAUUUGGAAAAACAUCACUGCCGAAAGAUUAAUGAGGAUUACAUUAUCGUUAAUUAACAUUUAUCCAAGUCCAUUAAGUGCUCGGGAAUAUUUUAUACCUGAUAAUUAUUCAUCAAAGGGUAGAUGCAAUUAUAAUAGGGAUAUUUUGUUAAUAUGCUGUAUUAGUUUUAUAUAGUCGCUGCCACUUUGCUCAAUCAGGCUUGACGCAGACGGGAGGGAUAUCUCUAGCAGAAAUAGCAAUGACUAUAUCGUGAACCUGAAUUUCUAGGAAGGCAGGCGCGUGCCCCCUAUCAGGGAACCCGUGACAUUAACGCAUUUAUAAUCAGAGACUCGACAGCCGCGCAAUACGUAGUGGCAUACCGCGUCGCAUUCCCUAAUGAAUUCCCUCUGUUUUGCUCGCCUCCCGAGCACCUUUAUCGGCCGCCGUACGGAAAGCGCCGCUCGCAAAGGACGCAUUUAAAGUGAUACACCUACAAGGUGAAACAGCGAGAGUCAUGAAUAUAUAUAUUUAUACGCUGCCGCGAUAAAACCUUGAGAGAUAAGAGGAUCGGUAUUAGAGUCUGCGAGUAGAUGACGGGCGCGUAGGAAACUGAGAGGAAAAAGGUUGGUCGAAAUUUGAACCCUUUGAAAAAAAAAAAAAAAUGGUAAGUACGAGAGACAUGGACGUGCGUAAUCGUAAAAAGCAACGAAACCGGAGGAACGAAGAAAAUUUAAAUAGUCGGUUGACAAGGUGUGAAAAAAUGUUUUCUAAGGGUUAAUUAUAAUUAUUUUUUUUUUUAAUUUAUAUUUUACGUAUUGUUCGUAUCUCAAUGCUUUCUAUUAGGGGUUGGUUGCUUGUACCUUUUUUUUUUCGAGCUGAUUGUGUCGGAGAGAUCGACAAGGUUUUCCUCUCUCGGCGAGUAAUAAUUGUGGAAAAUGACUUUGGCCAGAACGCUCCCUGACCUGGAUCAUAUUUUCCGAGGGUCGUUGUCGAACCCACCCCUAGCGUUGGGGGUGGCUUUUUCAAGCGGAAGAUUCGUACGCGCUAUAGAAAUUUUAAAGGGGAUGCUGUGACAAUUCCUUUUAACGAAGUAACCACAAUGUCGACGAACCCGUGACCUGUGACCGAUUACCAAUUUUUUUUUUUAACGGUUGAAUUUAAGGGCGCGCCGCAGACGGUUAUGCAGAGGGGUUAGGUUUUCCACGUACGCGAUAUCUAUCCUGCGUAUCUAUGCAACCGGUCGACUUCGCUUAGCUUAAUGUCAACUUCCAUCCCCCAACGAUUUACGAGUAAUGUUUUCGAUUAAUCUAGACGGAGGGUUGAAUUUUUACUCGUUACAAAAAAAAGCAUCCGUCUUGAAUAGAAAAGCAGCCCAUGCAUACAAGUAAAAUUUUCAAAGACAAUUUCGAAAAUCAUCCCGAUUAGGGGAAAAAAAAUUAUUCAAAAAAAAAAAUCGAAAAAAUUUAUCAAAAUUUUUUUAAAACCAAACAAAAUGGAAUUCGUCGAAAAGAAAGCAUUAAAUAUAUUUAACUUCUAAAGAGACGCGAAAGGGGAUUCGAACGAGCUAACCCAGGAGAGGUUAGGUCAGUGACGGUAAUAAUUCACGGACCUCUGGUAUGCCGAUCUCGUCGGUCAGCGAAGGUCGUGAGCGCAACAAACCCCAAGAGCAACGCUCGCCGCUCCGCGUCUGCCAAUCUAGUGAAAUAUACGGCCGGCCAUAUAUAUCAGAAGGGAGCGCGUAUCAAUUGCCACCAGUGUCAGAGAGUCAUGACUAUAAAUGUUGGGUGGACGUGGGGUUCGAUUCCUUCGCGGGUAGGUAUUUGCAGUGGCUGUAUACCUAUAUGUCCCAUGAUACCUACCUAACCUACCUAGGUACCUGCCUACCUACAUGCGCCUUAUAAUACAAGACGUCCCACGUGGGUCCUGUUAUUCGAUCGAUAUUUAUAACCUAUAAAUUUGCUAGGAUACGCGCGGAAUAUGAUAAUGCCUGUCAGCCGACAGGAUUAUCGAAGGUAGGUACAACCAAACGACCCUUCCCUUUACAAUGCCGCAGCUACCUUGCUUACUGCUACGGAGUAUCGAGUAAGCACUGACUUUUAUAUUCUAUGUUUUUAUCUUCUACUGAUACUGCGUGUAGUCAAGUGCACGCGUCUACGCUACUUAGAUGCAGACGAGUCUGGGUCGAGCCGGAAAGGUGCUGGGGAGACUUUAAAAAGUGAAUAGGGGUUGUUUACCUGCUACGGGAAAUUCGCUACGAAACUACCCUGCAUAGUAAUACUUAUCUACCUACUUAUCCAUUACCUAUCUCGUAAGGAGAACAUCAACCCCUACUCGACUCACCACCACUGGUGUUCUUGGUACCGUGAAAUUAGAUCACCCCCUUUAGUCUCGCGAAGGGUGGGUAUCGAUUUGUAAGGAGGGAAAAAAUUUUCAAAAAAAUUUUCAGCAUAAUUUUGACUAUGGGGAAUCGAUUUUUUUGGGUCUUCCGCUAGUUUGAAAAUUUUUUAAAUAUUGGCGUCGUUCAGGCAGCUUUCGCUGUAGUUGACUGCUUUUGAAAAUGAUUGGGGAUGAAAUUUUUUUUUUUUUUUCAAAUAAAAGGGUGCACGUGCUUUCACCUCUUUUUAUAAGCUUAUUAAUUUUCAUGAGUUUGCCAGUAUCUUUGCAAACGUUAUUUCUGAGUAAUGGCCGCACUUUACGCGAAUUGCUUAUUAUUAACCAAGGUAAAGUUCACACUCGUAAGCACAAUCGUACGUUAACUUAGUCGUUCUUGUAUUUCGAGUUUAUAUAUAUGUAUAUUGUAUAUGAGUGACUUCAAAGUAUACUCCGUACGAGUUAACUUACCUGGACUUUUGAGCCUUUCCCACUCACGGUAAUAUGAGAACUCCUCAAGGCUUUACGAAACACGUAAUUUACCCACAGCCCACGUACCAUACAUGUAAAAUUCGCCAAUUGUACAAUCCUCAAGUAUUUCAAUUUCCUGACAGCAGAAGAGACAGAAUUUGCAAUUAAAAAAAAAAUGCAAUUCGGAAAUUCGCCUCCCUAAAAAUCUUAUACGUAUACCAGUUCAACGUGCAUUUAAAUGACCAAUAAUUCUUAUUUUUGAUAAUAAUUAUAUUUUUGACGUAAUUUCAAAAUUUUACAAACAAAUGUAUCCAGAAGUAUAACGUAAGUGCGAAGCUAAUUAAUAAAGCUAAACUGGCUUCUUGGGAAGAUGGCGGACUACAAGGGAUAAUUUACUCUCUGUACCAUCUCUGAAGGAUGUGCUCGCUAGGUCGGAGAGGAAAUGACGAAAGCUGCCAGAGGGGGAUGAAAAGGAGAUUCAAGCAAAAGGAAGGAUUGCCAAAGUCAUUUACUUUUCAGACUGAAAGUUCCUGUAGGCGCGUCGCGGGGAAUAGUUAACGAAACUAUCUUAAGUAACUAAUCGCUACUGAAACAAGUAUGUCAGGUACGGCAGGAGGAAGCAACGAGCAGUUUGAGUAUAGUGACUAACGCUUCCUGCUUCCAGGCUGCCACCAUGUCGUCAUCGCUACCCACUGACGUGAUCACUAGGACUGGAUGUAUCAGAUAGAUGAGGAUGCGACAGUGAUACUGCCGGAUUUUUCGACCGACCGGAAGUCCGACCUUGAUUUGGAAAUCGAUUGGAAUGCGGGAUGAAAAUUUUACGGUACUCCGUUGGAACGCCGUUUCUAAAAGCGGUGUCUCUUUGAAAUACGAAGCUACGUUGCGAAGAGGUAUGGACGCUCUGGAUGAAAAGCACUGGUCUCUCUACUUGCUUUGCUUUUGCCACACUGUUAUAGGCACUCGAAUUAAAGUUCUUUGUGGUGGUAUGAAGGAAGUGGGGCGGACAAAAAAAAAUAUAUUGUUUCUUUCUUAUUGUCAGAAUCAAAGAAAGUUGUGCCUGUUAUUCGGAUACUUCCUGUCGAUUCGAUCUCGGGGUUCGAGGGAAUCGGUGAGCAGAUUUUUUACGGGUCGAUUUUCGAGUGGGAAUUUUUUUUACGAAUUUGAAAAAUUUAUACGUCGCACGAAUGGGACGAAUACGAUUUUUUUAAAUUUCUGGUACUGACUCCUUAUGAAAUUUUUCUUAUCAAAGGUGACGUGUCACAGGGCUCCUUUCUUUUUUUUUCCACGAUGGCCACACUGCUUUAACGUUAAUUAGUAUCGUCUUAUCAUUUAACGAACGAAGCACAGCAACGAUUGUGAAUGAGGCUUGGUACGUAUAUCGAAAUCUCAAUGAGCAUUUUGUACCCGUUUCAAUGUAAUGCAACCCAUAAGGAAUUCCUUUGCGGACCUUUAAUUUAGAUGAAAAUUAAUUAAACGCGGCCAAUAAGCGCAAGAUAUAAAGAGCGCAGCCAAUGGCGAAUGGACCAACUCGAAAUAAAGAUUCCGCUUAAUUAGCGAUUAAAUCGUUAUCUUUACGAGUUGCUAAUUACUGGCUAUCUCCCGCCGAGAAUUACACGAGAAUGUAUACUUUUUCAUAAGCAAUAAAAUUUACUUUAAAUAGAACGACUUUUUUUUUUAAAUUAAAACAAAAAUUUUCUCGACUGCGAGGGAUAAGGGCAAGUGGCGCCACCGUCGGCUGAUUUUAUUUGCGACCAAUACUUGUCGCGAAAGGAAGAAAAAAAAAUUAAUUUAUAGCGAAGGAAAAUCUUGGUUGAGUAUGAUAACGCGGGAAAUACAAAUCCUUAUCUUUUCGGAUGGCGCGAGUGUUAUUGCCAGUGACGCGAUAAAGUUUAUUUUCAACGUAUGACGAGUAAGAACCACGGAAACGGAAAUGUAAAGGAAAAUCUAACGUUUACGCGUAAUGGCGCGUUUUUCGAAUCUCGAAAAGCAUGAAAAAAAAAAAUUAUCGUAACCACCGAAACCUUAACGAUAACGUACACAAUAUUCUUUACUGUAUAAAAUGUGUUUUCUCGUUCGUUCGUAUACUCGUAUAACGAUAUAACUAUACUUCAGUCAUACUGUACACUGAAAUGCAUUAUAUUUAGUCGGAAAAAUAUAUUAUACCAUAAAAUCAUUUAAACGUGCUUUCUUAACAGGAAUACCAACUCGUGUCUCUUUCCCUACAUUUCUUCUGGCACGCUU